UAUAUAAUGAUGUUAAACUUAAUCUGAAAAAAGCUGUGCUGAUUUCACACUAAAUAUUAAACCAAAAGGAUACUGAUAAAAUA